GUGGUGUGUUCAGAGCUGGUGUCCCUCAGACCAUGGACAUCUGGUUUAUAUCACACCGUACAACAACACAUGGAGCUGUGACCAGGCCCAGUUCUACAGAGUCAGAACCAGAGCCACAGCACGACUCCAUACACCU